rnacentral:rRNA from 1 species
CCUACGGGAGUCAGCAGUGGGGGAUAUUGCACAAUGGUGGAAACCCUGAUGCAGCGACGCCGCGUGUGGGAAGACGGUCCUCUGGAUUGUACACCACUGUCCCCAGGGACGCAAAUGACGGUACCUGGGGAGGAAGCUCCGGCUAACUACGUGCCAGCAGCCGCGGUAAUACGUAGGGAGCGAGCGUUGUCCGGAAUUACUGGGUGUAAAGGGAGCGUAGGCGGGGAUGCAAGUUGGGUGUCAAAACUACCGGCUCAACUGGUAGUCGCACUCAAAACUGCAGCUCUUGAGUGAAGUAGAGGCAGGCGGAAUUCCUAGGGUAGCGGGGAAAUGCGUAGAUAUUAGGAGGAACACCAGUGGCGAAGGCGGCCUGCUGGGCUUUUACUGACGCUGAGGCUCGAAAGUGUGGGGAGCAAACAGGAUUAGAUACCCGUGUAGUC